AUUGAACGCUGGCGGCAUGCUUUACACAUGCAAGUCGAACGGCAGCGCGGGGGCAACCCUGGCGGCGAGUGGCGAACGGGUGAGUAAUGCAUCGGAACGUAUCCUGUAAUGGGGGAUAACGUAGCGAAAGUUACGCUAAUACCGCAUACGCUCGAGAGAGGAAAGUGGGGAUCGCAAGACCUCACGUUAUAGGAGCGGCCGAUGUCCGAUUAGCUAGUUGGUGGGUAAAGGCCUACCAAGGCGACGAUCGGUAGCUGGUCUGAGAGGAUGAUCAGCCACACUGGGACUGAGACACGGCCCAGACUCCUACGGGAGGCAGCAGUGGGGAAUUUUGGACAAUGGGCGAAAGCCUGAUCCAGCCAUGCCGCGUGCGGGAAGAAGGGCCCUUCGGGUU
rnacentral:rRNA from 1 species